UCCGGUGGCAAUGGCGAAGGGGAUCCACCUGUUCCCAUACCGAACACAGAAGUUAAGCCCUUAUGCGCCGAUGGUACUUGGCUGGAGACGGCCCGGGAGAGUAGGUCGCUGCCGGAU
rnacentral:rRNA from 1 species